rnacentral:lncRNA from 1 species
AGCCCGGUGGCCCAAAACCUUAAAAAAUUUUGGAAUGGCCAGAAACCCUAGGGUUUCUGGCGCCCCUCGCGCCGUUGCUACCCCAUGUGCGCCUUCAGCGCGCACCACGCCCGAUGUCUGCCACCGCCAGCCCUCCUUUCACCGAAAUGGCAAGUUGACCUUGCCGUGUACCUGCAAACAAGCAACAAAAGAGAUAAAUGGAAGCAGACUAGGAAAACAGUAGCAAAAGAGGAGAUUUUCCCUCGAUUUUUCAUUUUUUUCUUUCGGCUAUAAAGCCUAGUAUAUUGUAAAAUGUAGGGGGGCUUCAUCACUGUAAUCGGGAGUCCCGAUUUUUGAAAAAAAACAUUAGCAGAAAGAAAUAAAAAGCAAAAAGCGGAUUCAAGGUUUUUUUUUAGAUUCGCAUUUCUUUUUUUCUUGUAUAUUAAAUAAAUGCGUUGAUUGAACAAAAUGAUAAGAUGACGGCUUAACGGCAACGCUGGAAUGAAAAAGCAAGCAAUAAUCAUCAGGCAGUAGGAAGAGGUUACCUCGGAGAAGAGAGCCUUCAUCUGCGCAUAAGUCUUUGGUAUGACACCCUGAGAAUGAUGUAAGAAACCAGAACGAUUUAGGUCAUGUAUCCUCGAUUUGUGAUAAGAUAGGAUUGAGAUAAAAGCCACAUAUUUCUACCCUUGGAUUGUAGUGGGAGAAUGAUGGCACAAAUUGUGCGUCCCAAUGGAUUGAACUUUGAGGUUUACAGUGGGGGCAACCUGGCUAAUUGUUUCUCCAGAAAAGCCAGUCAGGCGAGAAGGCGUUGUAGCACGUCAGUCGCAAAGCUUUAAUAAACUUCGAGUAAUGAAAACCUAAGCGGGAUCAUUCUCAAAAAAUAAAAAAUAAAAUUUUGCAUUCAUGCAAACACCAUUUACACAUGUCUAGUUAGGAGCAUUUGAUUCAUUUUGAUCAUACCAUCCUAAUCAUUAGGCAUAAUUAGGUUCAUUAUACAGGACAUAUUCCCCAGAGAACAGAUCAGUGAAAAUCGAAAACAAAGCCUUGCCUCCAUAGGUUACAGUGGAGCUGGUUAAAGAAGCAGAUAUUGCCUUCCUGCGUUAACAACGAAGCAGAUCGAAAACAAAGCGUUGCCUCCAUCGGUUGCAGUGGAGCUGGUUAAAGAUAGCAGAUCUUGCCUUCCUGCGUUAACAGCGAAGCAAAUCGAAAAUAAAGCCUUGCCUCCAUCAGUUGUACUGGAGUUGGUUAAAGAUAGCAAAUCUUGCCUUCCUGCGUUAACAGCGAAGCAGAUCGAAAAUAAAGCCUUGCCUCCAUCGGUUGCAGUGGAGCUGGUUAAAGAUAGUAGAUCUUGCCUUCCUGCAUUGACAGUGAAGUAGAUCGAAGACACAAGCCUUGCCUCCCUAAGCGGUAGUAGAACAGAUCAAGAUGGUAGAUUUUACCUCCUUGUGACUACAGUGGAGUACAUUGAAGCCAGUAAUUUUAUCUCCAGACGUUGCGGAGUGGGCCGAAGCGCCAAUGCCUACACCUCUGAAAUUGUAGUAGGUCGGAUUAAAUCUAUCAUAGCAAGUCUUAUCUCCCUGAUGUUACAGUGGAGUAGACUAAAACCACGAAUCUUGCCUCUCUGACAUUGCGGUUAAAAAGAUUAAAGCUACUACAGCGAAUCUUAUCUCUCAGGCAGUGCAGUAAUAGAUUAAAGCCACAACGGUGAAUCUUGCCUCUCUGACAUCGCGGUUAAAAAGAUUAAAGCUACAGCAGCGAAUUUUAUCUCCCAGGCGGUGCAGUAAAAAGAUUAAAGCCACGACGGUGAAUCUUGCCUCCCUGACAUUGCGAUUAAAAAAAUUAAAGCUACAGCAGCGAAUCUUACCUCCCAGGUGGUGCAGUGGAACAGAUUAAAGCCAUAUCGAUGCAUCUUGCUUCCCCUACAUUGCAGUUGAAAAGAUUAAAGCCACAUCGGUGAAUCUUGAUUAAAGCUACAACGGCGAAUCUUACUUCCCAAGCGAUGCAGUGGAAUAGAUUAAAGCCAAAUUGGUGAAUCUUGUUUCUCCGACAUUGCAGUUAAAAAGAUUAAAAGCCACAAUGGCGAAUCUUACUUUCCAAAAGUUACGAGUUACAAGUCCUAUCUCCCUUAAGUUACAGUGGAGCGGAUUAAAUUAAAGGGUCUUAUCUCUCUGAAGUUACAGCAGAGUAGAUCGCAUCAGGUCUUAUCUCCCUGAGGUUACAAUAGAGUAGACCGAAGAAUUUCAGAUCUUAUCUUCCUGAGGUUACAGUGGAGCAGAUUGAAGCCAGAGAUCUUAUCUCCCUGAGAUUACAGCGGAGUAGAUUGAAGCUAGUAAUCCUAUCUCUCUGAAGUUACAGUGGAGUGGAUUAAAAUAAAUGUCUUAUCUCUCUGAAGUUACAGCAGAGUAAAUCGUAUCAGGUCUUAUCUCCCUGAGGUUACGGUGGAGUAGACCGAAGAAUGUAAGAUCUUAUCUCCCUGAGGUUACAGUGGAGCAGAUUGAAGCCAGAGAUCUUAUCUCCCUGAGAUUACAGCGGAGCAGAUCGAAGACACUAUCCUAUCUCCCUGAAGUUAUAGUGGAGCGGAUUAAAACUGAUUUUAUCUCCCUAAGCAGUAAUGGAGCAAACCGCACCAAGUCUUAUCUCCCUAAGCAGUAGCGGAGCAAACGAAACCACAGAUCUUAUCUCCCUAAGCAGUAGUGGAGCAGAUCGAAGACGGCGAAUCUUAUCUUCCUAAGCAGUAGUGAAGCAGAUUUAAGCCACCAGUCCUAUCUCCCUAAGCAGUAGUGGAGCAGGUCGAGGAUGGUAGAUCAUAUCUCCCUAAGCAGUAGUGGAGUAGGUCGAGGAUGGUAGAUCCUAUCUCCCUAAGCAGUAGUGGAGCAGGUCAAAGAUGGUAGAUCUUAUCUCCCUAAGCAGUAGUGGAGCAGAUCGAGGACGGCGAAUCUUAUCUUCCUAAGUAAUAGUGAAGCAGAUUUAAGCCACCAGUCCUAUCUCCCUAAGCAGUAGUGGAGCAGGUCGAAGAUGGUAGAUCCUAUCUCACUAAGCAGUAGUGGAGCAGAUCGAAGAUGGCGGAUUUUACCUCCCUGAGAUUACAGUGGAGUACAUUGAAGCCAGUUAAGACUCGGCGAGAUUGGGAAAAUUUGGUUUUUCUUAGUCUUUGCUUUGUUUUCGUUACACGAUAACAAGCAAAGAGGGGCACUGUAGAAGCCCAAAUUUGCGGGCCUGUUAGAGAAAAUAAAACCAAACAGUCCCAGUCCAUUACAAAACCCAAUACCCUCAAACCCAAAUACAAGCCCAACUAAACCCUAAGAAGCCCGGUGGCCCAAAACCUUAAAAAAUUUUGGAAUGGCCAGAAACCCUAGGGUUUCUGGCGCCCCUCGCGCCGUUGCUACCCUAUGUGCGCCUUCAGCGCGCACCACGCCCGAUGUCUGCCACCGCCAGCCCUCCUUUCACCGAAAUGGCAAGUUGACCUUGCUGUGUACCUGCAAACAAGCAACAAAAGAGAGAAAUGGAAGCAGACUAGGAAAACAGUAGCAAAAGAGGAGAUUUUCCCUUGAUUUUUCAUUUUUU